UUCCCGGGGCUGGGGUUUCUGUAGGCACUUUAUUUCUCCACUUUCAAAAGCUUGGGCUUGACCCAACUCUGAGGCUGCCCAAUUUUGUUUUUAUUACCAAUUCAAAUCUAUGGCUUGAAUCUCUGUAGUUAAAAAAAAAAGUUCAU
rfam:Erinaceus europaeus unplaced genomic scaffold scaffold00321, whole genome shotgun sequence